rnacentral:tRNA from 1 species
GGUCCGUUGGUCAAGCGGCUAAGACGACGCCCUCUCACGGCGUAAACAGGAGUUCGAUUCUCCUACGGAUCA